ACCCUCCAGGUUCAUAAUCCAUCAAAUGUAGACGCUGGUUUGAGUGGCUGUAAAGGAGGAAAAGUAAAACUAGAACAGACAUGGAUUCCUUUUUGCCAUACACGCUGAUUUCAACUACAG
rnacentral:snoRNA from 1 species